AGCGAACGCUGGCGGCAGGCUUAACACAUGCAAGUCGAGCGGGCCCUUCGGGGUCAGCGGCAGGCGGGUGAGUAACACGUGGGAACGUACCCUUUGGUUCGGAAUAACGCUGGGAAACUAGCGCUAAUACCGGAUACGCCCUUUUGGGGAAAGGCUUGCUGCCGAAGGAUCGGCCCGCGUCUGAUUAGCUAGUUGGUGGGGUAAUGGCCUACCAAGGCGACGAUCAGUAGCUGGUCUGAGAGGAUGAUCAGCCACACUGGGACUGAGACACGGCCCAGACUCCUACGGGAGGCAGCAGUGGGGAAUAUUGGACAAUGGGCGCAAGCCUGAUCCAGCCAUGCCGCGUGAGUGAUGAAGGCCUUAGGGUUGUAAAGCUCUUUUGUCCGGGACGAUAAUGACGGUACCGGAAGAAUAAGCCCCGGCUAACUUCGUG
rnacentral:rRNA from 1 species